CCUACGGGAGGCUGCAGUGGGGAAUAUUGGACAAUGGGCGAAAGCCUGAUCCAGCCAUGCCGCGUGUGUGAAGAAGGUCUUCGGAUUGUAAAGCACUUUAAGUUGGGAGGAAGGGCAGUAAGCGAAUACCUUGCUGUUUUGACGUUACCGACAGAAUAAGCACCGGCUAACUCUGUGCCAGCAGCCGCGGUAAUACAGAGGGUGCAAGCGUUAAUCGGAAUUACUGGGCGUAAAGCGCGCGUAGGUGGUUUGUUAAGUUGAAUGUGAAAUCCCCGGGCUCAACCUGGGAACUGCAUCCAAAACUGGCAAGCUAGAGUAGGGCAGAGGGUGGUGGAAUUUCCUGUGUAGCGGUGAAAUGCGUAGAUAUAGGAAGGAACACCAGUGGCGAAGGCGACCACCUGGGCUCAUACUGACACUGAGGUGCGAAAGCGU
rnacentral:rRNA from 1 species